rnacentral:ncRNA from 2 species
GGUACGCGCGGCGACUGGCGUACGGGGAAACGACCCCGGGGAAGCCGCGUGCGGCAGAUCGCACAGGGUGCCGCCCGCCUGGGCACCCCGG